rnacentral:rRNA from 1 species
AGAUUGAACGCUGGCGGCGUGCCUAACACAUGCAAGUCGAGCGGUAACAGGUGUAGCAAUACAUGCUGACGAGCGGCGAACGGGUGAGUAAUGCUUUGGAAUCUUCCCAGUAGUGGGGAAUAACCAGUCGAAAGAUUGGCUAAUACCGCAUACGUCUGUAAAGGGAAAGCGGGGGCUCGUAAGACCUCGCGCUAUUGGAUGAGCCAAAGUCGGAUUAGCUAGUUGGUGGGGUAACGGCCUACCAAGGCGACAAUCCGUAGCUGGUCUGAGAGGACGACCAGCCACACCGGAACUGAGACACGGUCCGGACUCCUACGGGAGGCAGCAGUGGGGAAUAUUGGACAAUGGGGGAAACCCUGAUCCAGCGACGCCGCGUGUGUGAAGAAGGCCUGCGGGUUGUAAAGCACUUUUAGUGGGGACAAAAAGCUACGGAUUAAUACUCUGUGGUCUUGAUUUAACCCAAAGAAAAGCACCGGCUAACUCUGCGCCAGCAGCCGC